rnacentral:tRNA from 1 species
CAGGGAGACAAAAAAUUGAUUGUGAUGUCUAAGCAAAUUAUUCUUAGGCCGCAAUCCUGUCACCUUAGGUCGAUCGGUACCUCAGAUUUUUGAAUUAAUUUUAUAAUUAAUACUUAAAUUUCAGUUCCUAAACUUGUCUAGGUCACACCCAACAAGGGUUUCUCCUGGGCCAUUAGCUCAGGUGGUUAGAGCGCACCCCUGAUAAGGGUGAGGUCCCUGGUUCAAGUCCAGGAUGGCCCAUUCGUUGUUGGGGGUAUAGCUCAGUUGGUAGAGCGCCUGCUUUGCAAGCAGGAUGUCAGCGGUUCGAGUCCGCUUACCUCCACUGAAAACUACCCUGAUAACUAAAUUUCAGGAGAAAAUUUGUAACUGUGACCCUUAUUUGUCUAUUUGAAAAGAACCUAGCUUCUUGUCAUCUUUUUUGGAGUUGAUAAUAUGCUGGGCUCACAUGGAAGAAUUUCCAUGAGAUUUCAGUAGAACCUUGAAAACUGCAUAGAUUGAAAGAAUAAAGCAUCUCAUGGAUGCAUAGUUCUGAUUUUAUAUUUUAGCUUCAUUGCAAAAAUAUAUUUAAUCAGAAUUCAUGUUUAAUUCUUGAGUAAAAGCCGAGCACAAUUGAUUUUGUGAUUGUAUUUAA